rnacentral:piRNA from 1 species
UAAUCUAGCAACGAAACAA